rnacentral:rRNA from 2 species
UCGCGCCUCCGACCGCGA